rnacentral:misc_RNA from 1 species
UCAGAAUAAGAUUUUGACAGAUGAAAAACCCAGGAGCUGUAUAUUACACAAGCCAAAUUUUGUGCAAAGUGAAAUCCAGUUAUAGGUACCAACAACAAAUUCCCCUCUCAAAAAUAAUCAGAGGGUCUCACUUGAAAAUAAUUUAAACCAAUUCUUGCAAAAUCAAAAUACAAAGAGAGAACUGUUGAAUCCAGAAAGGUAUCAUAUCUAACACUUCCCAACUCUUGAGUAUCCAUCAUCAGCAAACACCACAAUCUUCAAUACAAACAUAUUGAAAAGAAAUUCCAACAAAUUAAUAACCUUGAUCAACGAGAUAAUCACCGAGCCUCUCAACAACCAGGUUACACUGGCCUGGAGUCAUUGGUUCAUCAUAGAUACCAAUAAGUAGAGCCUGAUUAGUCUUUUUGAUAGUAAUACCACCCGGUCCCUUCUUUCCUCGAAUGACAACCCCAGGUUCCCCUUGAAUGACCAUGUACUUUGAGCCACCAAGAUGCAGGCCAGUUGGUGCAAGUGAACCGGGCUCAUUAAAAUCGUUCAGGAUGGCAUCAAUCUCUGAGGGUUUGAACUGAGGGAAAGUUGAGCUUUUAGCCCAAACAGCGCCGUCAAGGCCGACGAUAGCGGCGGCGCUAAGGUGGUUCCCUUCGAUUUCACACAGGAGGUGAUCGUCGACAUAUACUUGCCACGACAUGAUUUUCCGAUGAGGAUUUUU